rnacentral:rRNA from 1 species
GACGAACGCUGGCGGCGCGCCUCAUACAUGCAAGUCGAGCGUGAAGCAGGACUUCGGUCCUGUGGAAAGCGGCGAACGGGUGCGUAACACGUGAGCAACCUGCCCCGAAGACUGGGAUAACCCGAGGAAACUCGGGCUAAUACCGGAUGCCCUCUUUUGGUCGCAUGGCCGGAUGAGGAAAUGUUCAGGCGCUUCGGGAUGGGCUCGCGGCCUAUCAGCUUGUUGGUGGGGUAACGGCCUACCAAGGCGACGACGGGUAGCUGGUCUGAGAGGACGAUCAGCCACACUGGGACUGAGACACGGCCCAGACUCCUACGGGAGGCAGCAGUAGGGAAUCUUGCGCAAUGGGGGAAACCCUGACGCAGCGACGCCGCGUGCGGGAUGAAGGCCCUCGGGUUGUAAACCGCUUUCAGCAGGGACGAAAUUGACGGUACCUGCAGAAGAAGGCCCGGCCAACUACGUGCCAGCCGCCGCCGUAAUAC